CCUACGGGUGGCUGCAGUGGGGAAUAUUGGACAAUGGGCGAAAGCCUGAUCCAGCCAUGCCGCGUGUGUGAAGAAGGCCUUCGGGGUGUAAAGCACUUUCAGUGGGGAAGAAAGCCUUGGGGCUAAUACCCUCGAGGAAGGACAUCACCAACAGAAGAAGCACCGGCUAACUCCGUGCCAGCAGCCGCGGUAAUACGGAGGGUGCGAGCGUUAAUCGGAAUUACUGGGCGUAAAGCGCGCGUAGGCGGUCUGAUAAGCCGGUUGUGAAAGCCCCGGGCUCAACCUGGGAACGGCAUCCGGAACUGUCAGGCUAGAGUGCAGGAGAGGAAGGUAGAAUUCCCGGUGUAGCGGUGAAAUGCGUAGAGAUCGGGAGGAAUACCAGUGGCGAAGGCGGCCUUCUGGACUGACACUGACGCUGAGGUGCGAAAGCGUGGGUAGCAAACAGGAUUAGAUACCCGAGUAGUC
rnacentral:rRNA from 1 species